GCUUUAGACCAAAGGCCAGGAGGAGGAGCGUGCAAAAGCACUUCCAGUGUGGAGGAUAAGCCUGCGCGUCAUCGUUGCCAUAGAAACCUGACGUCAAUAUGGCGACCGCGACGGCUUCUAUAUAGAGACAGACGUGGCCUGGCCGGAAGAACAGAUCUUGCUUUCGAGUCUUUGGUACUCAGCCGACAGUUGGACCAUCAGAGAAGGGUGUGGACUCUGAGCCUCAGAAACAGGAGCUGAUAGAGAAGAACCAAAUGUGAUGUCAAGUGUGCAGACAGAUUCCUGGAGCAAGAGUGAAGAGAUCAAGGUCCCAUCAUUGGGACACUUAGUUUUUCUGUGGCAUGUGGGACGCCGCCUCAGCGUGGUUUGAUGAGCAGUGCCAUGUCUGCGCCCAGGAUUCAAACCAACGAAACACUGGGUUGCCUGCAGCGGAGCGCGUGGACUUAACCACUCGGCCACGGGGCCAGCCCCUCUUUACUAUAUGUUUUAGUAUCUGGUAGGACUAGCUGCCACCCCUUCCCACCGUGCUUCUUUUUCAGGGUUUAUUUGACAAUUCUUGCUGUCUUUUCAUCCAAAUAAAUCUGAUAAUCAACUAAAUUAUUAUCUAGUAUGAUUGUCUAAAUUCACACCAAAAUGCUAAUGGUAUUUAAUUUGAAACACAUUAAAUUAAUAAAUUACUUUGGAGAAAUUAGCAUCCUUAUGAUAUUGAGUCUCCUUACUCAAGAAUACCAUUGGGACCAUCCCUGUGGCCCAGUGGUUAAAGUUCUGUGUGCUCUGCUUUGGUGGCUGGAGUUCACGGGUUUGAAUCCCAGGCACAGACCUACUGCAUUCAUCAGCUGUGCUGUGGAGCAUCAC
rnacentral:lncRNA from 1 species